rnacentral:misc_RNA from 1 species
UCUAUAAAAAGAAUUCAAGAAAAAAUUUUAAUAAGAAUGAAGUUAAUUAGAAAAAAAAUUCUAAUAAUUUCAACAAUUAUCAAAUAUAGAGAUUAAGUCAUUCAAUUUUCAAAGAGGCCAAGUUGUAAUAUCAAUCAAAAUUCAGGGAUUAAAUAGUAAAUUUUUUUAAUUGAAUAAAGGGUAUAUUUAUCUUUUUACUUAAAUUAACGAUAAUAUUGGACUAAAGAAUAUCUGACUUUGACGGAAGUAUAAGUGAGAGACUAAAUUGUUCAAUUUUAAAAAUACAUGAACAAAUCAAAAUAUUAGUCAAAAUCUAAAGAUCAAAUAGUAAAUUACCCUAAUGAUUAAUGCUAUCUUUAAAUUAAAAUUUUAACUUUUUUUUCCCUUACCCAACUCAUUCAUGAACUAUCUCAUUUAAAUUAGAACUCUACUUGAAUUGUUGAUGUUAUAGUGGAUUUGAAUGGAACCUAUUUUCAAAGUGGAAAUACUUUCAGUCCCAUCUUUAGCCUUUUAUAAAUGUGUAAUAUAUACUUUCCCUCUAAACUUUUGCUUGAUUGAUAUGCACAGAACUUAUUCUUCCAAAUCUAACCCAUAAAUCAAAUUGUACUAUGUUACAUUUACUACACUCAUAUAUACCUUUGCCCUAAUAUAGUCACAAACUAGCAUUCAUGGUAAGAGCUGGAAUGGUAAAACCAAAAAUUCUAAUUAGGUAACGAUCAUCUCUUGAUUUUAUGAUAUAGUUUCUAAUCGGUUUUAUUUAAAUUCUUUUGAGUUGGCUGCUAGAUCAUGCAGGGAAGCUCGACACGUCCAUAACCAUUUCGCUAAUCUUUCAACAACAAGACGACAUUAUUAUCAUUAUCAUCAUCAUCAUAAUCAUCAUUAUCACCAUCAUCGUCUAAGUAAAGUAAGGCAUUGAUUUCUUCAGUGUCUUCAUGCAUCUCACUUUCUUCACCACUUAAGUGAUUCUCAUCUGAUACCUCCUGCAACUUCAGCACUGUUUGAUUGAUUUGGUCCAUUUUAGCUGCAUGUUCUUCAUCUUGCAAAUAAGAAUCACCAAUGCAUUUCCUAGCCACUAUAGUUGGUUUCACAUCAGUAGGGAAAAACGAACUAUAUAUUAACCUUGUUUCAUUUCCAGACUGGUCAAAAAUAACAAAUCUCCGCCGGCAUCCAGGGAUUUGAUUAGGUACAACCUCCCCAGCACACCCAUAAGGAAAAACAGAUAAGUUUUCUUUGAGAUAUGGUUUCACAGCUGGAAGCAAAUUCUGGAAGACAGGGGGCAAACUUUGAGGCAAGCCUUGGGCUCCAUUGCUUUGCUGUGUCUUCAAACCUGGGAUGCAUGGGACUGCAAUCCCUGGCAUCAUCAUGUUUGCAGAAAAUGUGUACGAGCCAGGGUUCACACAUGCUGGCAAACAUCCUGGUUCCACCGGAUCUACUGAUGUGCUCAUGCAGUUGAAAUUUGGUGAUUGCCAAGAACAAUGUGGUGGGAACAGGUUGGCUUUAACCAUAUAACCAAAAGAAUUACCUGGCAAUCUUGCAAUUGUUGAUAACAUGCAAUAACUCUAACCAUAAUUAUCGGUUUUCCAGCAAUUCCAUUCUCAUGCUUUAACGCCCGAAAUCUUGUUUGGCUUGCUGCUUGGCACACCAUAACUUCUUUUGACCACUCAAAACUAUAUUUAUCCAGAUGUAAGUAACAACACAAGACAAUUACCCAAUAAAAUAGAAACUAAGAGAAUGGCAAGCUUGAAUAAAGCUGAAAUAUGGAUAGGAAUUUUACUGAAACAAAAUGAGGAUGAAACAGAAACCUUGAAUUAGAACUUAGGAUCAAACAAAGAGAGUAACAAAGGGAGCUUCACCUUGAACUAAAGUUAUUUAUAGUUAUCUGAGAAUACUGUAAAAAUCAACAACAAAAGACAAAAGCAACUGGAUCUCAUGAACAUUCAGGAGAAGAAUGACAAGGCAAGUGUCUAAAUAUUGAGGUUCAGUAUUCAGUGGGAGCAAUAAUUUACAGAAUAACCCUGCAAUACAAAUUCAAUCGCACAACAUUGCGAAACACAUCAACUGAUUUACUCAACCAAGGCAUGUUGUUCUGUCUAUCCACAGAUAACUAGGUAUAUACUCAAAUUUCCUGCAAAGAAGUGUGUACCAGCAAAAUGGUGAGAAGCAUAAUCAGAUAGAAACUGUAAAAGCACAAAAAACCAUAGAAAGGAAAUUUCUCAACUAAAGCAUGAACAUUCAUUUGGGAGCUUAGAAAGUUAAGUAAAACAAUGAAUGGUCUCUAUAGCUGGUAACAGAACAUAUUCAACAUCAUUUGCUUUUCAAUGUUCAGGAUGCCCAGUAAUUAAAAUCCUAACAAAUGAUAUCUACCGUACGUUUCAUUUUAAAAAUCAGAAAGUGAAAAUGAUGAAAAAGAAAUACAAAGUUUCCUUUUUCUUCUUAUCU